UACGUAGGGUGCAAGCGUUAAUCGGAAUUACUGGGCGUAAAGCGUGCGCAGGCGGUUAUAUAAGACAGUUGUGAAAUCCCCGGGCUCAACCUGGGAACUGCAUCUGUGACUGUAUAGCUAGAGUACGGUAGAGGGGGAUGGAAUUCCGCGUGUAGCAGUGAAAUGCGUAGAUAUGCGGAGGUACACCGAUGGCGAAGGCAAUCCCCUGGACCUGUACUGACGCUCAUGCACGAAAGCGUGGGGAGCAAACAGG
rnacentral:rRNA from 1 species